UACAUAGGGAGCAAGCGUUAUCCGGAAUGAUUGGGCGUAAAGCGUCUGUAGGUGGUUCAAAAAGUCUACUGUCAAAUACGUUGGCUCAACCAACGGCAGGCAUUAAAGUACUAUUGAACUAGAGUGUGGUAGAGGUAGAGGGAAUCCCUAGCGUAACAGUGAAAUGUGUAGAUUUUAGGGAGAACACCAGCGGCGAAGGCGCUCUACUGGGCCAUUACUGACACUGAGAGACGAAAGCUAAGGGAGCGAAAGGG
rnacentral:rRNA from 1 species